GAGAAAAUAUCAAACUUUUGUCUUUAGAGUAAAUUUUUAAGAAAUUUUAAAUUGUGGUCGUCGAGUUGAAGAUUUUUCUUUGUUGAGACAGCUACGAAUGAACUGUGCACGGCUAUACGCAUCGUUUUUCAGGCUUUCAGCGACGUUACGAGCUGUUGAGCAGAAGAAUUGUUUUUUCCGUUAAUUUUUCUUUGCCACUAUUACUGGGAAUAGAUUUUAGAUUGCCAUCUUCAAAUUUAUUAAUUUCUUGCAACUAUAAAGCAGUGGCAAAUAAAUCAAAAUGCAAGAUUUCUUAGAUGUAGAGGAAAAAAUUACUUAAGAGCUUUAUAAAUUAUGGCCGCGUCGUAAAGGCAAAAGCUUUAUAUGGAAUAAUUUAGCGGGAAUUAAGAAUGAGGCUGGCUCAUUAAUAGGAUCCAGGAACCUUUAGAGCCCUUAAGUUGCAUACAUCAUUAUGUAAAUUUCAUAGAGAUAUCACUGUCCGUUUAAAAAUAAAAGACUUACUUCCAUUUUUUCUUUA
rnacentral:sRNA from 1 species